GAUGAAGAACGCAGCGAAAUGCGAUAAGUAAUGUGAAUUGCAGAAUUCAGUGAAUCAUCGAAUCUUUGAACGCACAUUGCGCCCGCCAGUAUUCUGGCGGGCAUGCCUGUCUGAGCGUCAUUUCAACCCUCAUGCCCCUAGGGCGUGGUGUUGGGGAUCGGCCAAAGCCCGCGAGGGACGGCCGGCCCCUAAAUCUAGUGGCGGACCCGUCCUGGCCUCCUCUGCGAAGUAGUGAUAUUCCGCAUCGGAGAGCGAUGAGCCCCUGCCGUUAAACCCCCAACUUUCCAAGGUUGACCUCAGAUCAGGUAGGAAUACCCGCUGAACUUAAGCAUAUCAAUAAGCGGAGGA
rnacentral:misc_RNA from 1 species